rnacentral:tRNA from 1 species
AGUUAUUUAGCUUAUAAAAAGCAUAUAUUUUGAAAAUAUAAGAAAGAUAUUGUUUAAUAACUU